CAAAAAAAAAGGUAUGGCUUCAUUUUUGUUCUGUGCAAACCCGUGAGAGAGAGAGAGAGCCAAGAGAGGGAAGGAAGCAAUUUCAGCUCAAGAAUAAGGAAAAAUAAGGGAAGAAAAGCUAGGAGAAACAAGGGAAUCAGAAGGGAAUUAACUAGAUUCUUUGAGAUUAAAGUUUAAGGUGGGCAUCUGAGGCCUUAUAUCGACUUAACCCACUGUGUCCAGGCACCAGACCAGAGCUAGAAGCGUCGAGUUAAGCUCAUGUUUUGUCCAGCUAACCGUUGUGCCUCACUUUGAGGUUCCGAGUCUUCUCGAGCCAAGGCUAUUUUUUAGGUGUUUCAGAUUCACCCUUUUUGUCUCUGUUAUGUAUUGACUGAUUAAAACUUGACUGUAUAGUUAUGGUAAAGGGACUAGGUCCCUAACUCGUAUGCUAUAUGUAUAUGUAUAUGGUUGGAUGUGGUUAUGUCCACAAAAGUCUUUUUUCAUUCAGAUUUUCACAGCUCAUUGGACAUCUUGUAUUUACUGUUCGGCUUCCGUCAGCCCCUUACUUUGUACUAUUGUCAUUACUAUUAAGCAGGCCUUUGGUAAUCACGGAUUACUGGCCGGUUACGAUGCUAAACCCAUAGGGGCGGGCUUGGGUCGUGACAGAGUGGUAUUAGAGCACGAGUUAAUAUCUCACACACGUGUCCAUUGAGCAUUAGAAUGUCUACAAUUGAUUUAAGCUUCAUGCAUAUAAUAAGUAAGCAAGAAGUUAUGCAUGCAAGAAUACGUGUAUAUACGCUUGUGUAAUGUGUUUAAAUAUUGAAAUUAAGAAUUAAAAGCUAUUGUGGAUUUUUGAUAAUUAUAAGGAAAUUGGAAUGUAUUGAAUCAGUUUAGCAGUGAGGUUAAAAGCUAAGAAUCAUGGUGAAAUUUCUGAAAUUUCUAUUGUUAUAAGGAAAUCAGAAAAUUUGACUAGUACUUUGGUGAGAAUAAGUAUGUUGAUGUUUGGAAACAUAGUGUUAUGCAGAAUUAGAAUCUUUGACGAAAGUCAUGGAAGCCAUAUGAGUUGUAUGUCAAAUUGGACUAUGAGAAUAUUUAAGAAAUUGAGGAAUUUAAUGAUCAACGUAGUAUGUGGAACUAUAGUAAUUGAGGAUGAGAAAAGUUAUUUGAUUUGUAAAAUGGUACAUUUGGACGAGGACCUAUUAUGUGAAAUGUUAAACCGUAGAGUCUAAUGCCUUUGUUGAAUGACCUUGAAAGUCCGAUUGGAAUCAUGUUUGGCCAACGUAGCUUCGAAUUGGAAAUUCUUGGUAAAUUCUAUGGGAAUGAAUAGGUUACCCUACCAGUGUCCUUAUAUGCCUAUAUGUGUAUGCCUACUUGUAUAUGAUAUAUGCUUUGUGUUAUAAUCUAAGUCAGUUAAAUUAACCCAAGUGUUAUCAACCAUCUUCUUGUGUUUAACCCUUCUCUCCUG